CACGUAGGGGGCAAGCGUUGUCCGGAUUUAUUGGGCGUAAAGAGCUCGUAGGCGGUUCGGUAAGUUGGGUGUGAAACCUCCAGGCUCAACCUGGAGACGCCACCCGAUACUGCUGUGACUAGAGUCCGGUAGGGGAGCGUGGAAUUCCUGGUGUAGCGGUGAAAUGCGCAGAUAUCAGGAGGAACACCGGUGGCGAAGGCGGGUCUCUGGGCCGAUACUGACGCUGAGGAGCGAAAGCGUGGGGAGCGAACAGG
rnacentral:rRNA from 1 species